UAUCUGCUGAAGAACGGUGCUGUACCCUUCGUAAGACAGCCUCGAGCUGCCCAGAUGCCGGUAGAGAUGUCGUUUGGCUGUCUUCACCGCAGCCUCCCACAAUCCACCGAAAUGUGGAGCCUUAGGUGGAGUAAAGUGCCAGCUCGUGUGACGCACCUUCGAAAUUUUUCCCGUUGUCGGAGUGUAUAUCCGACGGUAGCCCGCGCCGGGCUGUGAAGCGGUGUAAAGCGGCCAAGAACCCUGCAGUGGUGAGAUCGCUGACCAGCUCCAGGUGAACCGCCUUGGUUGCAAAACAAACGAAAACACACAAAUAACAUUUGGCAGCGGCAGCUCUCUUGUACGUCGGCUUAAGAUAAAAUGGGCCGGCGUAAUCCACUCCAGUAAUAGAAAACGGCCGGCUCGGAGUGAUGCGUUGAUACGGAAGUUGGCCGGUUUGUUGUUGCACUAGGGCGGGAUCCUGUCGUAUGCAACGAAAACAAUUACGGACUACUCCUUUCACUAAUCUCCGUCCGUCGAGCGGCCAAUAUUCUUCUCGAAUCUGGGAAAGUAAUAGUCUUCCCCCGCCAUGCAUCAGCUUUUCAUGAAAGUGGUAUGCGAUGAGACGAGCAAACGGAUGUUUCUUGGGAAGUAGGAUAGGGUGUUUGAACUGGUAGGGAAGCUGUGCAAGCUUCAAUCGGCCACCCACUCGCAUUAUUCCUUCCUCAUCGAGGAAUGGAUUCAAGCGCCGUAGAGGUGAGCGCCGCCCUACAGUUUCUCCUUUUUUCAGCAGCCGGAUCUCCGAUGAAAACUCGUCUUGUUGCGCCAGCUUGCAUAAUGCGAGUUUAGCUGCUUCCAGGAACUUAGGUGUGAUCGCGGAUGUAGUAACUGGUGACGAUUGUUGUGUGCGUGUCUUGUGUUUGGUAUUGUGUAUGAAUCGUGUGCAAUAUGCGAUUACAUGUAACAAUUUGGUGUAUGACGACCACAAAUCGAACCAAGGGUGAGUGGUCUGUACAUUUGCGACUACAGCACUCACCUGACGAAUUUCAAUAUCAGCUUCGGCCGCCAGCAAUGGAUUCGAAAUCGGCCAAUCAGAAGCAGGUAACCUCAACCACUCGGGACCGCAACUCCAUAUCGAACUUUUCAGCAUGUCCACUGCUGACAUCCCACGAGAUACCAGGUCGGCGGGAUUUGUUGAGCCGGGAAUGUGUUUCCACUGACGAGGAUGUGAAUAGUUCUGGAUCUCAGCAACACGAUUAGCCACAAAGGUUUUCCAGGUGUUGGGUGGUGACGCAAUCCAGUUUAGCAUGACCGUGGAAUCCGACCAGAAGAACGAAUCGGUGACUUCGAUUUGCAUUGCUUGUCGAACACGAUGAUGCAGAUGAGCUCCUAACACGGCUGCGCACAGUUCCAGUCUUGGCAGCGUGACGCGUUUCAGUGGGGCCACUCGAGAUUUUGAUGCGAGCAAACUAACUCGAACGUGCCCCUGCUGGUCUUCACAACGUGCGUAAAUACAGGCACCAUACGCUACCUCUGACGCGUCUGCAAAUGUAUGGAAUUGUAUUUUGGAGUUUGAUGUGAACGGGAACCGGAUCGUCCCAUCCGAUCUUCUGCAGCCACAAUUCCUGCAUGAGCAGCUUCGCACGUAUAAUGACCGGAGCGAUCAAUCCAAGGGGAUCGAAUAUUCGGGCAAUAUUCGAUAAUAUUGAUCUCAUGGUGAUGGUGGUUGUAUCGACUGCAGCUGGUGAUUCGAAACACAACACGUCGAGUUCGGGUUUCCAUAUGAUGCCAAGAGCCUUUACCUUCUCGUUUGGCACAAACUGCAGCGAGGAUUGUGUACCGAUAUGCUCCGCUGGUAAACCGGAGAGCACUUCCAAACAAUUUGAAGUCCACUUUCGGAGUUCGAACCCGCCCUUGGAGAGCAGAUCCGAUAGUUGCUGCCGAAGGCUCCGAGCUUCAUCCACGCUGUUUGCUCCACCAAUGAAGUCGUCAACGUAGAAAUUGUGCUUAAGCGCAGGUGUGGCAAGUGGAUAAGCUGCACCUUCAUCUUCCGCAAGCUGCAACAGAGUACGAGUGGCCAAGAACGAUGAUGGAGACAAACCGUAUGUCACGGUAUUCAGCUCGUACAAUUCCAUAGGCGAUUCCGGUGAGAAUCGAAAAAAGAUGCGAACUAAACGUCGAUCAUCAGGGUGCAGGAUGAUUUGCCGAUACAUUUUUGCUAUAUCAGCAACAACAGCGAUUUUAAAUGUGCAAAAACGUAGAACGAUGUCUAUUAGUUCAUCCUGAACUAUGGGUCCAACCCGCAACGUUUCAUUCAGCGAAUAACCAGUCGACGUUUUUGCCGAACCAUCGAAAACUACUCUAACCUUUGUAGUGGUGCUUGAAGCUUUGAAAACAGGAUGAUGCGGUAAAUAAUAAGCAGCUGUAUCAUCAGUAGUAUCAGUGCUUAUAGGAGACAUGUGUCCCAGUUCUAAGUACUCCUUCAUGAAUGCUUGGUAUGCUUCUCUAAGUGCUGGAUCGCGUUCUAGUCUUCGCUCAAGAAGUUCAAACCGACGGAUGGCUUGAGCUCUGGACAGGCCGAGUUUUUCUCCGAAGUCGGGCUGUUUUGGUAGACGGACAAUAUAUCUACCUGUGUCGUCACGUUCAGUGGUUGCUUUAUAAAAUGAUUCGCAAUGCCGUUCAUCGGGUGAGUAUGCAUCAUUAACCGUUAAAUUUUCUAGUUGCCAAAAUCGUUGUAGGGAUUCUUCCAAUGAUGCCAUGCAGACGAUUGAAUAGGAAGUGGUAGGAUGGGUUUUAGAAUGCACAUUCUGAUCAGCUGUGGUACCGGUCACUACCCAACCGAAAGCACUAUUAAUCAUGACGGGUUGAUGAGGUGCGGGACGAAGCUGAGUGGCAUUCUCAAAGAAUGCAUGGUAAUGACGAGCGCCGAGAAUGAUAUCAACGGGAGCAGAUUUGUAGAACAUCGGAUCUGCUAAAUUGAUGCCAGGCGGUAUCUUCCAGUUUUUGGUGCAAACAUCGCGCGUUGGAAGAUUCGCUAUCAAAUUGUCGACCAUCAAAAACUCAGUAUUGAUCGUAAACGCUGUCACUCGAGAGGCAAUCUGGGCGUGUACGGAUUCCCGUACUGUCUUCGUAGAUUGUCCUGCUCCAACAAUGGUAACGUGUACGUUACUCUUCUUCAAAUUCAGCCGUUUGGCGAGUCGAUCGCUAAUUAGAUCCGGCUGCGAUGCGCUGUCCAACAGCGCGCGCGCAGGAUGAGCAAUUCCGAAAUUAUCAAUGAUAUUCACCAAAGCAGUUUGGAGCAAUACCUGCUCGGGUGCUUGCUGUAGUGCUGCUGCAAAUGUGC